UAAAACUAUGUAAAAAUCAGUUUUAUAACAUUUUCUAGAUAAUUCUUUAGAGCAGAGAAGAAGCUGCGAACAUUCUGGAUGCUGCUUCAAACCCUGGUGGCCCACCUUGGCGUUCUUCUACUCAAUCGAUUGCAACUGAUGACCAAGCCUUAGCUUUGCAUUUUGACGUGAAUUUCUCUGGAGCACCUCUGAGGUCAGUUGCUUUUCUUAUUAAUUCAAUUUUCAUGUCUGUCUAAGGACAUAACAGCAACUGCAUGCUCAUGAUUGGAAGUGACAUUGGCUAGUUGGCAAAGUUGCCCUAGCUGUUUUCGGUUUACUGCACUAGGCUGCUUGUGUUAAUUGGUAAAGUUUUAUUAUGUGAGGCCGAUAGGCCAUUCACACGUUUCCAUUUGCUAUGUCGGCCUGAAGGAUCCGACCAUAGCUAUCACAUUAACAUACUUUUUCAAAAUUCAGCUGUAAGAGUUAAGUAUGUUCUCUGCUCGGCUUGUGAUCAGGGCAUGAAUGUUCAUCAAAUCAAUAUUUUUUUGUCAGAUGUUGUAGUUGUGACUGCCCUGGUAGCUGUGUAUGGAAAAUGUUGAAGCUCAAUAAAGUGUAUGAACUGUUUGACUGAAUGCCUUAAAUAAAUGUUGUCUCAAUACAUUUUUAGCAAGUGCAAAUUGGCAGGCAUUAAGCUUAAUUUCAAAGAUCUUAGCGAACCGGAUUGAUUUAUCCAGACUAAUCCUAGUCUGCAAUAGUUCCAUGGCGGCGUGGAUAAGCGGGAAACUCAAAAUUAAAGAGGGGUCACAGCCAAAAUAUUUGACAAAAAGGGCUAUUGUCGAAUCUUCCGCAGCUAUUCUGCCAAGAAUAAACUUUAAGGGCUAACUAUAUAAUAGCAUUGCAAAACCCUGUAUGUAUGUAGGGUUUUAAAAAACCAUGUAAUAACAAAGCAAAAAGGCGUAGGAACAUAGAAACUGUGAAAUAGAAAGCCGUUGUUGAACAUCCAGAAUGAACCAGGCGGACUUCAUGAUACUAGGUUCUCCUCCUCUGUCAAGUGGACAUUAACAACGCCGAGCACACGUCCUCCUCCCAGUUGCGUAGGUAGGAUAAGAAAGACCUCUUUUUCAAUUCUGUGAAAACCCUUGGCCAGAACAGAAAUCGGGUGGCUCUUUCUCUAGUUACGCAGCAAACUCCUGGCCAAAUUAGUCAUCGAGUACAUUACAGUAUCUGAAUUUUUAGGGUGAAGGUGUAUUAAAUUCAAUAUGCAAUGGUGGUUUAUUUUCAUUAGCUGGCUAUGUUCUUCAAUUUAUAAAUGCCCAAGGAGAAUGCCUCUAAGGAAUUUAGGAUUUUAAUUACUCUUUAUUGUAUUCUAUACAUUGGCUAAGCAGAUUACCACAAGAAAAUAAGACUCUUUUAUUGACAGGAACUUCACAGGUCCAGAUGUCCAUUUGUCCAUUUUUAUCCUUUUACAGAGUCUUUGAGUUUACAUGA